rnacentral:rRNA from 1 species
AGGACGAACGCUGGCGGCGUGCUUAACACAUGCAAGUCGAGCGGUAAGGCCUUUCGGGGUACACGAGCGGCGAACGGGUGAGUAACACGUGGGUGAUCUGCCCUGCACUUCGGGAUAAGCCUGGGAAACUGGGUCUAAUACCGGAUAUGACUUCAGGUUGCAUGACGUUGGGGUGGUAAA